GAUGAACGCUAGCGGGAGGCUUAAUACAUGCAAGUCGAGCGGCAGCGCGUCCGACCACCCUCGGGUGGUCGGAUGGCGGCGAGCGGCGGACGGGUGAGGAAUGCAUCGGAAUCUGCCUCGUUGUGGGGGAUAACGUAGGGAAACUUACGCUAAUACCGCAUACGACCUACGGGUGAAAGUGGGGGACCUUCGGGCCUCACGCGAUGAGAUGAGCCGAUGCCGGAUUAGCUAGUUGGCGGGGUAAAGGCCCACCAAGGCGACGAUCCGUAGCUGGUCUGAGAGGAUGAUCAGCCACACUGGAACUGAGACACGGUCCAGACUCCUACGGGAGGCAGCAGUGGGGAAUAUUGGACAAUGGGCGCAAGCCUGAUCCAGCAAUGCCGCGUGUGUGAAGAAGGCCU
rnacentral:rRNA from 1 species